rfam:Camelus ferus unplaced genomic scaffold scaffold931, whole genome shotgun sequence.
CCCCCCUGGCAAUGGGCAAAGAGACACCUGAUUGGUGGCAUUGCUCUUAUAUCAGUCAGGGGCAAAGAAGAUGUCCAGCCCUUUGUUCAUCCUAGCUUGAUGCCUGGACUGGUGGCCAGAGCUGUUUCAUGCCUGAGGAACAUAA